rnacentral:rRNA from 1 species
GACGAACGCUGGCGGCGUGCUUAACACAUGCAAGUUGAACGGUAAGGCUCCAGCUUGCUGGGGUACACGAGUGGCGAACGGGUGAGUAACACGUGGGUGACCUGCCCUGCACUUCGGGAUAAGCCUGGGAAACUGGGUCUAAUACCGGAUAGGACCGCACCGUGAGGGUGUGGUGGAAAGUUUUUUCGGUGUGGGAUGGGCCCGCGGCCUAUCAGCUUGUUGGUGGGGUAAUGGCCUACCAAGGCGGCGACGGGUAGCCGGCCUGAGAGGGUGGACGGCCACAUUGGGACUGAGACACGGCCCAGACUCCUACGGGAGGCAGCAGUGGGGAAUAUUGCACAAUGGGCGGAAGCCUGAUGCAGCGACGCCGCGUGGGGGAUGACGGCCUUCGGGUUGUAAACUCCUUUCACCAUCGACGAAGGGUUUCUGACGGUAGAUGGAGAAGAAGCACCGGCUAACUACGUGCCAGCAGCCGCGGUAAUACGUAGGGUGCGAGCGUUGUCCGGAAUUACUGGGCGUAAAGAGCUCGUAGGUGGUUUGUCGCGUCGUCUGUGAAAUUCCGGGGCUUAACUCCGGGCGUGCAGGCGAUACGGGCAUAACUUGAGUACUGUAGGGGAGACUGGAAUUCCUGGUGUAGCGGUGAAAUGCGCAGAUAUCAGGAGGAACACCGGUGGCGAAGGCGGGUCUCUGGGCAGUAACUGACGCUGAGGAGCGAAAGCAUGGGGAGCGAACAGGAUUAGAUACCCUGGUAGUCCAUGCCGUAAACGGUGGGCGCUAGGUGUGGGUUUCCUUCCACGGGAUCCGUGCCGUAGCUAACGCAUUAAGCGCCCCGCCUGGGGAGUACGGCCGCAAGGCUAAAACUCAAAGGAAUUGACGGGGGCCCGCACAAGCGGCGGAGCAUGUGGAUUAAUUCGAUGCAACGCGAAGAACCUUACCUGGGCUUGACAUAUACAGGAUCGCGCCAGAGAUGGUGUUUCCCUUGUGGCUUGUAUACAGGUGGUGCAUGGUUGUCGUCAGCUCGUGUCGUGAGAUGUUGGGCUAAGUCCCGCAACGAGCGCAACCCUUGUCUUAUGUUGCCAGCACGUUGUGGUGGGGACUCGUAAGAAACUGCCGGGGUUAACUCGGAGGAAGGUGGGGAUGACGUCAAAUCAUCAUGCCCCUUAUGUCCAGGGCUUCACACAUGCUACAAUGGUCGGUACAGUGGGUUGCCAGUCCGUGAGGGCGAGCUAAUCCCGCAAAGCCGGUCUCAGUUCGGAUCGGGGUCUGCAACUCGACCCCGUGAAGUCGGAGUCGCUAGUAAUCGCAGAUCAGCAACGCUGCGGUGAAUACGUUCCCGGGCCU